AGAGUUUGAUCAUGGCUCAGGACGAACGCUGGCGGUGCGCCUUAUGCAUGCAAGUCGAGCGAAGCUUUUCAGUAGUUUACUACAGAAAAUGACUGAGCGGCGAACGGGUGAGUAACGCGUGAGCAAUCUACCUUAGUUACAGGGAUAGCCCGAGGAAACUCGGAUUAAUACCUGAUAUUCUUUACAUUUCGCAUGAAAUCAAAAGGAAAGGUCAGCCGAACUAAGAUGAGCUCGCGUUCUAUCAGCUAGUUGGUGAGGUAAAAGCUCACCAAGGCAACGACGGAUAGCUGGUCUGAGAGGACGAUCAGCCACACUGGGACUGAGACACGGCCCAGACUCCUACGGGAGGCUGCAGCAGGGAAUAUUGCGCAAUGAGCGAAAGCUUGACGCAGCGACACCGCGUGUGGGAUGACGGAUCUAGGUUUGUAAACCACUUUCAGGAGGGAAGAAAAUGACGGUACCUCCACAAGAAGCCCCGGCCAACUACGUGCCAGCAGCCGCGGUAAUACGUAGGGGGCGAGCGUUGUCCGGAUUUAUUGGGCGUAAAGAGCUCGUAGGCGGUUCAACAAGUCGGUCGUAAAAGUUCAGGGCUCAACCCUGAAAUGUCGAUCGAUACUGUUGUGACUAGGAUACGGUAGAGGUGAGUGGAAUUCCGAGUGUAGCGGUGAAAUGCGUAGAUAUUCGGAGGAACACCAAUUGCGAAGGCAGCUCACUGGGCCGCUAUCGACGCUGAGGAGCGAAAGCUAGGGGAGCAAACAGGAUUAGAUACCCUGGUAGUCCUAGCUGUAAACGAUGGAUACUAGACGUAGGAACUGGGAUUGACGGUUUCUGUGUCGUAGCUAACGCGUUAAGUAUCCCGCCUGGGGGA
rnacentral:rRNA from 1 species